UGAAUACGAGACGCUACGGCGUCGAAGCAGUCUAUGUCAUACUUCCAAGAAAAGCUCGCAAUGUCAUAAACAAAUAAUGCCUGUACCAUAACCGACACAGGUGGGUAGGUAGAGUAUACUAAGGGGCGCGAGAUAACUCUCUCUAAGGAACUCGGCAAAAUGACUCCGUAACUUCGGGAGAAGGAGUGCCUUAUUUAUAAGGUUGCAAUAACAAGAUCCAAGCAACUGUUUAUCAAAAACACAGGUCUCCGCUAAGUCGUAAGACGAUGUAUGGGGGCUGACGCCUGCCCAGUGCCAGAAGGUUAAAGAAGUUGGUUAGCAUUCGCGAAGCUGAUAACUGAAGCCCUGGUGAACGGCGGCCGUAACGAUAACGGUCCUAAGGUAGCGAAAUUCCUUGUCGGGUAAGUUCCGACCCGCACGAAAGGCGUAAUGAUUUGGAUACUGUCUCGGAGAGGGGCUCGGUGAAAUAGACUUGUCUGUGAAGAUGCGGACUACCUGCACCUGGACAGAAAGACCCUAUGAAGCUUUACUGUAACUUGAAAUUGAAAUUGGACUUUAUUUGCGCAGCAUAGGUGGGAGGCGUUGAGAGUAUUCUUGCGGGAAUAUUGGAGCCAUCAGUGAGAUACCACUCUUGUAAUGUUAGAUUUCUAACUUUGGAUCAUUAUCUGGUCAAAGAACAGUUUCAGGCGGGCAGUUUGACUGGGGCGGUCGCCUCCCAAAUGGUAACGGAGGCGUACAAAGGUUUCCUCUGAACGGGUAGAAAUCGUAUCUAGAGUGUAAAGGCAUAAGGAAGCUUGACUGUGAGACCUACAAGUCGAGCAGGGACGAAAGUCGGUCUUAGUGAUCUGACGGUGCUGAGUGGAAAGGCCGUCACUCAACGGAUAAAAGUUACUCUAAGGAUAACAGGCUGAUCUCCCCCAAGAGUUCACAUCGACGGGGAGGUUUGGCACCUCGAUGUCGGCUCAUCGCAUCCUGGGGCGGUAGUACGUCCCAAGGGUUGGGCUGUUCGCCCAUGAAAGCGGUACGCGAGCUGGGUUCAGAACGUCGUGAGACAGUUCGGUCCAUAUCCGGUGUAGGCGUUAGAAUAUUGAGAGGAGCCUUCUUUAGUACGAGAGGACCGAGAAGGACAUACCUCUGGUGUACCAGUUAUCGUUCCAACGGUAAACGCUGGGUAGCUAUGUAUGGAGAGGAUAACCGCUGAAAGCAUCUAAGUGGGAAGCCCACCUCAAGAUAAG
rnacentral:rRNA from 1 species